AGUGAACGCUGGCGGUAGGCCUAACACAUGCAAGUCGAACGGCAGCACAGUAAGAGCUUGCUCUUACGGGUGGCGAGUGGCGGACGGGUGAGGAAUACAUCGGAAUCUACUUUUUCGUGGGGGAUAACGUAGGGAAACUUACGCUAAUACCGCAUACGACCUACGGGUGAAAGCAGGGGAUCUUCGGACCUUGCGCGAUUGAAUGAGCCGAUGUCGGAUUAGCUGGUUGGCGGGGUAAAGGCCCACCAAGGCGACGAUCCGUAGCUGGUCUGAGAGGAUGAUCAGCCACACUGGAACUGAGACACGGUCCAGACUCCUACGGGAGGCAGCAGUGGGGAAUAUUGGACAAUGGGCGCAAGCCUGAUCCAGCCAUACCGCGUGGGUGAAGAAGGCCUUCGGGUUGUAAAGCCCUUUUGUUGGGAAGGAAAAGCAGCAGGUUAAUACCCCGCUGUUCUGACGGUACCCAAAGAAUAAGCACCGGCUAACUUCGUG
rnacentral:rRNA from 1 species